UACGUAGGGACCGAGCGUUGUCCGGAAUCAUUGGGCGUAAAGAGCGUGUAGGCGGCUCGCUAAGUCUUGCGUGAAAUCUCGGGGCUCAACCCCGAGCGGUCGUGAGAAACUGGCAGGCUAGAGUGCGGGAGAGGAGAAUGGAAUUCCUGGUGUAGCGGUGAAAUGCGCAGAUAUCAGGAAGAACACCCGUGGCGAAGGCGGUUCUCUGGAACGCAACUGACGCUGAGACGCGAAAGCGUGGGGAGCAAACAGG
rnacentral:rRNA from 1 species